GACGAACGCUGGCGGCGUGCUUAACACAUGCAAGUCGAACGGAAAGGCCCUGCUUUUGUGGGGUGCUCGAGUGGCGAACGGGUGAGUAACACGUGAGUAACCUGCCCUUGACUUUGGGGUAACUUCAGGAAACUGGGGCUAAUACCGGAUAGGAGCUCCUGAUGCAUGGUGGGGGUUGGAAAGUUUCGGCGGUUGGGGAUGGACUCGCGGCUUAUCGGCUUGUUGGUGGGGUAGUGGCUUACCAAGGCUUUGACGGGUAGCCGGCCUGAGAGGGUGGCCGGCCACAUUGGGACUGAGGUACGGCCCAGACUCCUACCGGAGGCAGCAGUCGGGAAUCUUGCACAAUGGGCGGAAGCCUGAUGCAGCAACGCCGCGUGCGGGAUGACGGCCUUCGGGUUGUAAACCGCUUUCGCCUGUGACGAAGCGUGAGUGACGGUAAUGGGUAAAGAAGCACCGGCUAACUACGUG
rnacentral:rRNA from 1 species